AUGUGGGGCACCACACAUCCCUUAAAUGGUGGACAACCCCACACUACCCACGGCAGUUGCCCAAGCUUCGCCCACAACCUACUUCCACAAUCGAUACAUUAUUUCAACAACCACACACUUCUUUUCUUCCUCCUAUGUGUUUCUCAACCACAACAACUUUCAACGAAAAACAUCCACCACACUGUUGUGGUUGACGAAUUGAUGGAGAAUUGGUGCCAAAUGUGUUGUUUCGCGCCAUGCCCACCAAGUGUUCGUCAAAAUUCAUACGUAAUGCCGGUGUCAGAACUCGUCGGCAAUAAGCGUUGCCUACAAUCAACAUUGUCAGUCAUAGUAAUAUCUCAGGUACUCAAACAUUGA